rnacentral:rRNA from 1 species
UUUUAAAUGAAGACUAGAACAAAAGACUUAACAUUUUAAUAAUUUUAUUUUUCUAAAUUAUUUAACUUCUUUUUAAUGUAAAAAAACAUUAAUUUAUUAGAAAGACGACAAGACCCUAUUGAACUUAACUUUAGUUAAACUGGGGCAGUAAAUUAAUUAUUAUUUUAAUUAAUAAUAUUUUAAAUUAUAUCCAAUAAAAUUGAAUUAUUCAGUUACCAUAGGGAUAACAGCGCAAUUAUAUUCUUAAGUUCUUAUAUAAAAAAUAGAUUACGACCUCGAUGUUGAAUUAAUAACCUAAUUUAAAGCAAUAGUUAAAAAAGGAAGUCUGUUCGACUUUUAAACAAUUACAUGAUUUGAGUUCAGACCGGUGUAAGCCAGGUCGGUUUCUAUCUUCUAAAACAAAAUUUUUACAGUACGAAAGGACCUAAAAAAUUUAAUAGUUUUUAUAUUGGCAGACAAAUGCAUUAGAAUUAGAAUCUAAUUAAUCUCUU